rnacentral:lncRNA from 1 species
AAUUUGGACCUCUGACCGACGUGCAAACUGGUCGGAGGGCCGCGGCACCCAGGCAGCCCGAGUCGGCCGCGUUUUUACGGUCCUUUAUGGACUCUGGGCUUCCGUGCCUGGAUGCGCCUUACACCCCGCCGGCCACAAACUGCCCCGACCCGCGUUUGAUCUCGCCCACGCCGGGGGGAAGGUGUCUUCCCCAAGCAGUUGAAGCAGUACCACAAAACUCUGGGGGGUUGGGGUGCGCUUUGAACCCCCCUCAAGCCCAGGGCUUGCGUCUCCCUCCUCCCGAAAAGCACAGCUGUCACCCUCAGUCCCGCCAAUGCCAGAGCACAGAAGGAGACCCCAGCCAGGGCGCAGAUAGCUGGGGAGAGCUGCUCAGGUGGGUCCCCCCAGCCACCCUGCCCUGGGGGAAAGGAGUGUCUUCCUCCCCUCUGGAGCUGAAGUGGAAGGUGGGCGCGGUGGGAGGCCCGGGAAGAGAAGGGGGCGCGAUGGCUACCUUUGCUGUGCUGGUACUCGGCGUUCGCCGUGGCGCAGUCCGGGGUGCAGCUCACCUCGAUUUCUUCAUAGAAAUCCGACUCGGUGUCCGAGCUGCUAGGUUGCCCCUGGCCCGAGAGGCUGUCGGCAGAGGGGGCCGGAGGUCCGGGGCCAAGCACCGCAGCCCCGGCUGCCCGCGACUCGGCGCCCGGCCCGGGAGCGCUGCCUGCUAGUCCGUCGACCGGCUCCUCCUCCAGGCCUGCCCCGCCGCGCUCCCGGGCGGCCGGAGGACCGGCCCGCGGGCUCAGGCAACCACGGGGCACCAUCUUCUCGGGCGGCUCGGGCAGCGGGCUGCCCACGGCUUCCGACAAAUUGGAAACUCUCUUGCCAACCAGAGUACCAAGCUGACCCGCAUCCAGAAACAUAACCAUGUCCUUUCGGCUCUCCAUCCCGGGGCUCGCCGGAGGGGGUGGGGGAGGGAGUAAGCCCCAAGUGAGCUCCUAGCCCCCGUCUCCCUGGGUCCCCAGCGGUCCGACAGAUCUUGGCUUCGGGAGGCAGAAAGAGAGGCCAGGCGACCGGGCGGGCGCGGAGCGGCCGGAGCGCGAUGUCGACGGUGACGGCGGUGGCGGCGGUGGGGAGCUGGGGUCACCUUGUGAUGCGAGCGCUCCUCUGUGCCGCACCGCCUCUGGGAGGAAGCCCCAUUGCCCUCUUCUUUCUAAGCUGUCAUCCUCCUGCUGCAAUCGUCAUUACAGUACCGCUGGUGACGCCACUCGGCGAGCGCAAGUGGAUAAAUAGAAACGUCUGCCACAGCGAAGAUGAAAGGAGACCCGCAGCUAAUGGCUCGGCAGUGAUGCGCCAGGUG